rnacentral:rRNA from 1 species
UACGAAGGGGGCUAGCGUUGUUCGGAAUCACUGGGCGUAAAGGGCGCGUAGGCGGCCGCUCAAGUCGGGGGUGAAAGCCUGUGGCUUAACCACAGAAUUGCCUUCGAUACUGUUUGGCUUGAGACCGGAAGAGGUGAGUGGAACUGCGAGUGUAGAGGUGAAAUUCGUAGAUAUUCGCAAGAACACCAGUGGCGAAGGCGGCUCACUGGUCCGGUUCUGACGCUGAGGCGCGAAAGCUAGGGGAGCAAACGGG